AUACAUGUUGAGCGCACUUUAAUGUGACUCUUUGUAUGAACAUUACCACCCAACCCAGAGGUGCAUUGUGGCCUUUAACGAGGUUAGCAGUGUAUCAGUACGUAUCCCAAAGGCAACUUUGAGUUACAUUACCCAUCAUUUACCCCCAUUUACACUUAAUAAGUUUUAAGAAUGAUACCCAAAACCAUAUAACUUUCAGCAAUGGAUCUCUAGGCUCUCACGUCGAUGAAGAACACAGUGAAAUGUGAUACGUAAUGUGAAUUGCAGAAUUCAGUGAAUCAUCGAAUCUUUGAACGCACCUUGCACCUUUUGGUUAUUCCGAGAGGUACGCCUGUUUGAAUGUCACAAAACUCCCCUCGGCUCUAAUGCUUUCUAAAAGGAUUGGAGACGGAUUCUGAGUGUUGGCGUGAAUACGCCUCGCUUCAAAUAUAUCAGCACUUUUGGAUGGUUGAAUGUUAGUUCGAAAGACGUACUUGAUGUUGUAUUUAUAUGUCAUUGAGGCAGUCUUUGGUCGUUACGACUAUCCGCUAAUACGAAAACUUGAAGAAUAGCUUCCUAACCCUAUUAAUUUACCCUUU
rnacentral:misc_RNA from 1 species